rnacentral:rRNA from 1 species
UGGGGAAUAUUGGACAAUGGGCGAAAGCCUGAUCCAGCCAUGCUGCGUGUGUGAAGAAGGUCUUCGGAUUGUAAAGCACUUUAAGUCGGGAGGAAGGGCAGUAAGCGAAUACCUUGCUGUUUUGACGUUACCGACAGAAUAAGCACCGGCUAACUCUGUGCCAGCAGCCUUGGUAAUACAGAGGGUGCAAGCGUUAAUCGGAAUUACUGGGCGUAAAGCGCGCGUAGGUGGUUCGUUAAGUUGAAUGUGAAAGCCCCGGGCUCAGCCUGGGAACUGCAUCCAGUACUGGCGAGCUAUAGUAGGGCAGAGGGUGGUAGAAGUACCUGUGUAGCGGUGAAAUGCGUAGAUAUAGGAAGGAACACCAGAGGCGAAGGCGAUGACCUAGGCUCAUACUGACACAGAGAAGCGAAAGCGUGGGGAGCAAACAGG